GAGAUUGCCUCUUGUCUCGUGGGCUCGGAGAUGUGUAUAAGAGACAGGUAUAUGGCAAGGUUAAGGAGUAAAUCCGUAGCCGCAGCGAAAGCGAGUUUUAAUAGAGCGUUUAGUCGUAUGCGAUAGACCCGAAGCCAAGUGAUCUAUCCAUGAGCAGGGUGAAGCAAAGGUAAGACUUUGUGAAGGCCCGAACCCACUGAUGUUGCAAAAUCAGGGGAUGACUUGUGGAUAGGGGUGAAAGGCCAAUCAAACUUGGUGAUAGCUGGUUCUCUCCGAAAUGUCUUUAGGGACAGCGUUAUAUGUUGCGCUUUGGAGGUAGAGCACUGAUUGAUCUAGGGGGCCAACAAGCUUACCAAACUCAGUCAAACUCCGAAUGCCAAAGUGUUUAAAUAUAGCAGUGAGCCCGUGGGGGAUAAGCUCCACGGACGAGAGGGAAACAACCCAGAACAACAGCUAAGGCCCCUAAUUGUAUAUUAAGUGUGAAACGAUGUGAAAGUGUUCAGACAGCCAGGAGGUUGGCUUAGAAGCAGCCAUUCCUUUAAAGAGUGCGUAACAGCUCACUGGUCGAAUGUUUUCGCGCGGAAGAUGUAACGGGGCUAAAUAUACAGCCGAAGCUUUGUCAUCAUAUUAUUAAUCCAGAUUUCGAUCCAGGAAAUAUGAUGGGUAGGAGAGCGUUGUAUGGGCAAUGAAGCAGCAACGAGAGUUAGUUGUGGAGACCAUACAAGUGAGAAUGUUGGCAUGAGUAGCGAAGGAAGAGUGAGAAUCUCUUCCGCCGAAUGUCCAAGGGUUCCUGGGGAAGGUUCGUCCGCCCAGGGUUAGUCGGGACCUAAGACGAGGUCGAGAGACGUAGCCGAUGGAUAACAGAUUGAUAUUUCUGUACCACUAUAUAAGCGCCAAAAUCGAAUAUAUGUCGCUAAGGAAAGCCUUCGGGCCUACCGACCCACAUAUUAUUAGAUUAGCAAUGGAGUGACGGAGAAGGAUAAAUGAGCCCAGGCGAUGGUUGACCUGGGGUAAAUGCGUAGGGUGAUCGACAGGUAAAUCCGUUGAUCAUGAAACCUGAGACAUGAUGCCGAGCCGCUUUUAGGCGAAGUCAUUGAUUCCAUACUUCCAAGAAAACCUUCUAGUUAGUUUAUAUAGUGCCCGUACCCCAAACCGACACAGGUGGACAAGUAGAGAAUACUAAGGCGAGCGAGAGAACUCUGGUUAAGGAACUCGGCAAAAUAGUUCCGUAACUUCGGAAGAAGGAACGCCCCAGUAAAGUGAGUGAUUAACUUCAUUAGCUUGAACGGGCCGCAGUGAUCAGACUCAAGCGACUGUUUAUCAAAAACACAGGAGGGUGCAAAGUUCGAAUACAACGUAUACCCUCUGACACCUGCCCGGUGCUGGAAGGUUAAGUGGAUAGGUUAGCUUCGGCGAAGCUUUGAAAUUAAGCCCCAGUAAACGGCGGCCGUAACUAUAACGGUCCUAAGGUAGCGAAAUUCCUUGUCGGGUAAGUUCCGACCUGCACGAAUGGUGUAACGAUUUGAGUACUGUCUCAACCAGAGACUCGGCGAAAUUGCAAUGUGAGUAAAGAUGCUCACUAUGCGCGACAGGACGGAAAGACCCCGGAACCUUUACUGCAACUUGAUAUUGAAUGUUUGUAUGCAUUAUGCAGGAUAAGUGGGAGACUAUGAAAUAAUGGCGCUAGCUGUUAUUGAGUCGACCUUGAGAUACCACUUAAUCCAUAUUGACCUUCUAACCUAGAUCCGUUAUCCGGAUCAGGGACAUUGUCUGGUGGGCAGUUUCACUGGGGCGGUGGCCUCCUAAAAAGUAACGGAGGCGCUCUAAGGUCACCUCAGCGUGGACGGCAAUCACGCAUCGAGUGUAAGUGCAAAAGGUGGCUUGACUGUGACACAAACAAGUGGAGCAGGUACGAAAGUAGGAACUAGUGAUCCCAUGGUUGCAUGUGGGUGCGCCAUGGCUCAUCGGCUAAAAGGUACUCCGGGGAUAACAGGCUUAUACCCCCCAAGAGUCCAUAUCGACGGGGGUGUUUGGCACCUCGAUGUCGGCUCUUCUCAUCCUGGGGCUGGAGCAGGUCCCAAGGGUUAGGCUGUUCGCCUAUUAAAGAGGAACGCGAGCUGGGUUCAGAACGUCGUGAGACAGUUCGGUCCCUAUCCGUCGCGCACGUAAGAAAUUUGAAGAAAGUUGUCCCUAGUACGAGAGGACCGGGAUGAACGAUCCGCUGGUGUGCCAGUUGUUCUGCCAAGAGCACCGCUGGUUAGCUACGAUCGGACGGGAUAAGCGCUGAAAGCAUCUAAGUGCGAAGCCCCUUCUAAGAUAAGAUUUCUCAUCGGGUUAACCGAUUAAGACUCCUUAUAGAACAUGAGGUUGAUAGGUCAGAAGUGUAAUUACAGUAAUGUAUGUAGCUGACUGAUACUAAUAAGUCGAGGGCUUGAAC
rnacentral:rRNA from 1 species